rnacentral:lncRNA from 1 species
CUACCCCUGAAUAAACCACAACUUUGUAUUUUGUGUAAUCAUGAUGCGUGAGGGGCGCUUCAAUGAAAUAAGAUACUGAAUGAGUGAAGAAAUCUGGGGAGAUAUAUCCGAUGGUGAUAGGUCGCUCUGGAUCUUUAAGAUUGUCCCACGAAGUGUACUGUGGGUGUAAUCUUGUGAAGCGCCAACCCCAGUCUCUGUGUUCAUUAAGAGUUUCUAACUGCAAGUUCCAUAAAAGCAACAGAACCAAAACCCAAACUUCUCAUAAUAUAUAUGUUAUUAACCUGUGCGCCUCAUAUAGUUUGUCAUCGAGUCCUUCAUUUAUGUAGUUCAUGGCAAGCAAUCGAUUCUACAUAAUGGAAAGGUAGGUUUCAAACGCAUAGGUCAAAUCACAAAGAGCACGCUAAAGUAGGCAAUUUACCUGGCCAGCAUUGCGAGAAUCUGGAUCUAUCUUAAGGCAUUCCUCAUAAGCAUCAAUAGCCGCCGUUAUAUUUCCAGCGUCUCUGUAAAGAACACCUACAUUUGAAUCGCACCAUGAAACUGGUUAGAACCGAAACUAAACACCAACUAGCUUUAGGAAAGUAGGAAAAAAAUUCAAGCAGUAAUCUAAAAUUCAUAAUAUACAAGCAGUGGUCUCACUAAGGAACUAAACAGAAGAGGAAUCAAACCUAAGUUGUUAAAAGCUUCUGCAUAAGUGGGAUUAGCAUGGAUUGCCUUUUCGAUCAUGCUGGCAGCAGCAUCCAUUUUCCCCUGUAGAAUCAGAGGAAUUGGUAUUCUAUUGACUGUAUAGAUUCUAUCACGAAAACAUGAAGCCACAUUUGAUCUAUAUCAAACCUGGACUGUGUAGACAACACCGAGGUUAUUAAGCGACUGUGCAAAAUUUGGUUUGAUUGACAGAGCCAUCUACAAAGGUUGGGAGUAUUGUUAGCCACAAUAAACAAUGAAAUAAUUUUACAUAAAUAAUACCUGAUAACACUCCACGGCUUUAUCAAGGUUGUCACGGUCUUUGUAAAGUACUCCCAAAUUGUUGCAAGCCUCAGCACAAUGUGGAUUGAAGUGGAAAGCAAGCUCAUAGAAGACAAUUGCCUGCACAAAAGAACACAAUCAUGACCACAUACAUAGUUCAUUAUUUACCUCCAUUUCUCAUUCUAAAUAAUCAGGAAACUAAGUACAGAGUUUUGUACUGAUUGCGAGAACAUGGACAGAAGGAUGCAGCUAUGGGUAGACAAAAUUAACAAGAUAUAGAUAAUUAUAUCAUGCAAAUAAACGAUCCGAAGAAUUUAAUAAACACGCACACAAUUACUGACUUACAUAAAUGAAUAAAUCACAAAUUAAAUACCAUGUCAAACUUCAGCAUUUCACCAUAAGCGACCCCAAGAUUAUACAUAGCAUCUGCAUAGUGCCAGUUAUAAUAGAGAGCCUUCUUGUAAUACGCCACUCCUUGGCUCACAUCGCCUUCAAGUUUAACCUGAAGAAACAUCACUGAUAACUCAGAUACACUCACAGCUGAACAACUAAAUUUUAAUAAAACUUAAGGAUUAUUAUUACCUUUGUUCCUAAAUCUGUCAGAGCUAUGGCCAUAUUAUUCUUGGCAAUCUCAAAGUUUGGAGAUACAGCUAGACAUCUAAUGGGUGGAUUCACUCUGAAACCCAAGAAAACCUUCCUGUUAUGAACAAGAACGUACUUCUGUUUGGUAUCUGGUGGAUCAGCCAACGAAUCCGUAAUUCUGUAAUCAACAGUGGGUAAACCCGUAGUAUUUGGAUAGCCGAUCCAAGUAACCUGAUAUUUUAACCAGUUAAAGUAAACUUGAAAUGAAAAUUUCCACAAAAAAGUUCCUAAAGAACAAUAUGAGACAAUAUUAUAGAUCCUCUCUCACCUGAAGAGGUGCUGGUCUGCAGGCCAUUGUUCCCAACUUGUUGUUAGCAGUAUGGCCAGUGAGUUCUACCAAAAUGUCGAUUUUGUCUUCUCGGACCAUACUUGCAAUCUUUUUCUCAUCUAUUCCGUAUAUAUCUUUCCAAACUCCACCUUUCUUCAACACUUUAUCCCUAAACCUGAAUGUUUUUGCAUCUUCCUGUAGAACCAUGAGAGAGAAAGGAUUGCUCAAAAGAGAAAAAAAAAUUGAAUAGAAUUGCUUUUACAUAAAACAUAAUCAUAUAUGGAGAAGCUUUUUCAAGAAAAACCAUACCUUAACUACCCCUGAAUAAACCACAACUUUGUAUUUUGUGUAAUCAUGAUGCGUGAGGGGCGCUUCAAUGAAAUAAGAUACUGAAUGAGUGAAGAAAUCUGGGGAGAUAUAUCCGAUGGUGAUAGGUCGCUCUGGAUCUUUAAGAUUGUCCCACGAAGUGUACUGUGGGUGUAAUCUUGUGAAGCGCCAACCCCAGUCUCUGUGUUCAUUAAGAGUUUCUAACUGCAAGUUCCAUAAAAGCAACAGAA